CGCCAGAUAGCUCAGUUGGUAGAGCACAAGACUAGAGAUUCAAGGGGACCAGGUUCAAAUCCUGGUCUAGCUG
rnacentral:tRNA from 1 species